UACAGAGGGGGCAAGCGUUAUUCGGAAUUAUUGGGCGUAAAGGGCGCGUAGGCGGCCUGGCAAGUGGAUGGUGAAAUCCCUCGGCUUAACCGAGGAACUGCCAUCCAGACUGCUUGGCUUGAGACCGGGAGAGGUGAGUGGAAUUCCCAGUGUAGCGGUGAAAUGCGUAGAUAUUGGGAGGAACACCAGUGGCGAAGGCGGCUCACUGGACCGGUACUGACGCUGAGGCGCGAAAGUGUGGGGAGCGAACAGG
rnacentral:rRNA from 1 species